GUCCCUGUAGCACAAUGAAUAGGCCAUUAGAUUUUUAAUCUAAAGAUCGUGGGUCCGAAUCCCAACUGGGAUG